rnacentral:rRNA from 1 species
GGUGCAAGCGUUACUCGGAAUUACUGGGCGUAAAGCGUGUGCAGGCGGUUUUGUAAGUCAGAUGUGAAAUCCCCGGGCUUAAACUGGGAACUGCGUUUGAAACUACAAGGCUAGAGUGUGGCAGAGGGGGGUGGAAUUCCACGUGUAGCAGUGAAAUGCGUAGAGAUGUGGAGGAACACCGAUGGCGAAGGCAGCCCCCUGGGUUAACACUGACGCUCAUGCACGAAAGCGUGGGGAGCAAACAGG